GGCUGGUCUGAGUGCAGUGGUGUUUACAACUAAUUGAUCACAACCAGUUACAGGUUUCUUUAUUCCUUCUCCACUCCCACUGCUUCACUUGACUGGCCUUAA
rnacentral:Y_RNA from 1 species